UAAAACAGAAUAGACUGUAGCCUGGUUCCCGAGGCCUUCCGAUGUGCAAGCACGAAGGCCAGGCACUCACUGUCGAAUGGAUUCUUCCACUGAUCAAAAUCCAAUAUGGCGGACUCAAUGAUAAUUUUCCAUACAUAUGGAAAGAAGAAACAUAUGAUAGUGGGUGAAAAAAACACCCUCAUAUAUAAUGCUUCAUGAAUAUGCAAAACCAUGCCAACAGUCUACAGACUCCAGAUGGAAAGAGAUGGAGAAAGAAUUUCUAAAGGGGUAUUCAAGGACCCAUCCUCCUCCACACUAAUUCAUAUUGGAAGGAAUUGACAUCCAACUUGAAUAAAGAAUUACAGACUUCCAGAACAGGUGCAUCAUGGGGAUCCUUUUAAAAAGGAGAGGCCAGAUCAUCAGAUGAUUUUAUUGAAAAUGAGAAAUUUCUGAGUGGAAGUGACGAAUGUGGCAUGCAUACAAGCAGACAUCAGCAUUCCCUCCCUCUUGUUUGUAUCAGAGGUGAGCUUUUUGAGAAAGACUCAUGGAGGAAGUUUGAGAGUGUCAGUUCUCAUAUCAAAAAGUUAGCUAGCAGUAGGAGGAGUAGCAAUUCAUUCCACAUUAUGACAUGAGAAAUACGUGACUAGAAAGACCUUAAAAAGGAGAUUUGGCAUUGUUUCAUGUGGAGAUUAAAGAACCUUCGAAAUAUAUAACACAGACAUGUUUCAGUUUCUUGGGGAUAACACUUAUGAGGAAUUUUGCUAACUUUCAGAUUGGAAUGUGUUGCACAAGAAAUGCUUGAUCACAACCCUCUUCUGUUAAAAACCUUUUCUAUGCAAAUAAUUAGUGUAAAUGAAAUUUAACUAUUUCAUUAGUAAACAUGUUUUCUGCGCAAGUGUGUGUCUUUGACAUUAAAUGCUAUGAUAUUGUCGUAUUCUUAAACAAUGGAAGAUCUCUACUAGUUCUUUCAAAGGAAAGCCAACAACAGGAAUCGAACCUGUUCCUCCAUCGUACAGAUACGAAAGUGUGCACCAUUACACCAUGUUGGCAUACAUUAAGAACUGGUAGCCUUGGAGAGUAAAUAUUGCAUUAUUCUGUACAGUUGAUACUGGUUUGUGUGAUAUAUGUAUAUAUAUAUAUAUAUAUAUAUACAAGUAUAUAUAAUGUAUGCCUCAUGUUUGGUAGUCAUCAAUAAAGCAUUUGAAUUGAA